CCUACGGGGGGCUGCAGUGAGGAAUAUUGGUCAAUGGACGAGAGUCUGAACCAGCCAAGUAGCGUGAAGGAUGACUGCCCUAUGGGUUGUAAACUUCUUUUAUAUGGGAAUAAAAUGUUCCACGUGUGGGAUGUUGUAUGUACCAUAUGAAUAAGGAUCGGCUAACUCCGUGCCAGCAGCCGCGGUAAUACGGAGGAUCCGAGCGUUAUCCGGAUUUAUUGGGUUUAAAGGGAGCGUGGGUGGAUCGUUAAGUCAGGUGUGAAAGUUUGCGGCUCAACCGCAACAUUGCAGUUGAAACUGGCAGUCUCGAGUACAGUAGAGGUAGGCGGAAUUCGCGGUGUAGCGGUGAAAUGCUUAGAUAUCACGAAGAACUCCGAUUGCGAAGGCAGCACACUGGACUCAAACUGACACUGAGGCACGAAAGUGUGGGUAUCGAACAGGAUUAGAUACCCCUGUAGUC
rnacentral:rRNA from 1 species